GCAAGUCGAACGGUAACAUGAAGUGCUUGCCCUUUGAUGACGAGUGGCGCACGUGUGCGUAACACGUAUACACUCUUCCUUUUACAGAGGGAUAGCCCAGAGAAAUUUGGAUUAACACCUCAUGGUAUUGAGAAUUGGCAUCGAUUUUCAAUUAAAACUCCGGUGGUAAGAGAUGAGUAUGCGUUCUAUUAGCUAGAUGGUAAGGUAACGGCUUACCAUGGCAACGAUAGAUAGGGGCCCUGAGAGGGGGAUC
rnacentral:rRNA from 1 species